UACAGAGGUCUCAAGCGUUGUUCGGAUUCAUUGGGCGUAAAGGGUGCGUAGGUGGCGGGGCAAGUCAGGUGUGAAAUCUCGGGGCUCAACCCCGAAACUGCACUUGAUACUGCCUUGCUCGAGUACUGGAGAGGAGAUUGGAAUUUACGGUGUAGCAGUGAAAAUGCGUAGAUAUCGUAAGGAAGACCAGUGGCGAAGGCGAAUCUCUGGACAGUUACUGACACUGAGGCACGAAGGCCCAGGGGGAGCAAAACGGGGAUUAGAAAACCCC
rnacentral:rRNA from 1 species